GCCUGCGCGGGUGAGUCUGCCUUGGUCAGGUUUCUUGUUUACAAAGUUGCUUUUUUCUCUGUUUCCGUGCUGUGCUCCCUGGAAGGAAGUCUCCAUGUGCAGCCCACACUGAGGAAAGAGAGGGACUCAGCUGGUGCAACCCUUCCCCUUUCCUCUUUCUCCUUGCUUUGAACAUGGAUCUAAUGGCAGGAGCUAAGGCAGCCAUCUUGUGACCAUGAGGAAAGAGACUGACAGCAGUUUCAGCCGGGCAUGCCUCAGCCAUUGAACAGCACCUUAGAUUUCUCACGUGAGAAAAAUAAAUUCCUGUUUGUUUAAAUCA
rnacentral:lncRNA from 1 species